GAUGAACGCUAGCUACAGGCUUAACACAUGCAAGUCGCGGGGCAGCAUGGGGGUUGCUUGCCACCCCUGAUGGCGACCGGCGCACGGGUGAGUAACGCGUAUCCAACCUGCCCUUCACCACGGGAUAACCCGGCGAAAGUCGGACUAAUACCGUAUGUUGUCCAUUGACGGCAUCCGAUUUGGACGAAAGGCUGGGCGGUGAGGGGAUGGGGAUGCGUCCGAUUAGCUUGACGGCGGGGUAACGGCCCACCGUGGCUACGAUCGGUAGGGGUUCUGAGAGGAAGGUCCCCCACACUGGAACUGAGACACGGUCCAGACUCCUACGGGAGGCAGCAGUGAGGAAUAUUGGUCAAUGGGCGUAAGCCUGAACCAGCCAAGUAGCGUGCAGGAUGACGGCCCUAUGGGGUGUAAACUGCUUUUAUGCGGGGAUAAAGUGGCCCACGUGUGGGCUUUUGCAGGUACCGCAUGAAUAAGGACCGGCUAAUUCCGUG
rnacentral:rRNA from 1 species